UGAGAUCAGGAAUAAGCAACCAGAAAGGUGA
rnacentral:piRNA from 1 species